GUCUUUAGAUACCAAGCUAUAGAAAAAUGCGUUAAAGCCUUCAUCAUUUCGUCGCUUGGCACGAAGAAUACGCCCCAAACGUUGAGCUUCUUGACGCCUAGAACCAUAAUGAGAAGAAAUCUGAAUCAAACAGGUUGCUUCAGGAAGAUCAAUAGACGUAUCACCAACUUUAGAAAGGAAAAUGGUAUUUACAAGUUCAUUAUACUGGAAAUUUUCCAAAAUCCUCAUUCUUUCCUGCUGUGGAGUUCCACCAUAAAUAAAAUAUUUGCCUA